rnacentral:rRNA from 1 species
UCAAAACCCAUUAAAACUAAUGAGUAUGCCUAUAAUAAUAUAGCCGAAUUAAUGUUAGAAUUAGUAAUAAGAAACCAUAAUUUUCUCUAAAGCACCUGUAUAAAUCAGCUCGAACUAAUCACUGAUAUUUAUCGACUAAGCAAUUUAAUAUAAACAAUUCCACUAGACAUUCAAUUUUACCCCCACCGUUAAUCCAACACAGGAGUGCUAUUCAAGAAAGACACAAAAGUAUAAGAAGGAACUCGGCAACCAUAAGCUUCGCCUGUUUACCAAAAACAUCACCUCUAGCAAACCUUAACAUGUAUUAGAGCACUGCCUGCCCAGUGAUUUUAUUCAACGGCCGCGGUAUUCUGACCGUGCAAAGGUAGCAUAAUCACUUGUCUUUUAAAUAAAGACUAGUAUGAACGGCACCACGAAAGCCUAACUGUCUCCUUUACUUAGUCAAUGAAAUUGAUCUUCCCGUACAAAAGCGUGAAUACUAAAACAAGACGAGAAGACCCUAUGGAACUUAAAACACGCAACCACUUUAAUCUUAUAUAACAGUAACAAAUACCUGGAUUAUGCUGUUUUUGGUUGGGGCGACCACGGAGAAAAACAAAACCUCCGAGAACAUUACCAAGAGUGACGUAACAAAGUACCAAAACCUUGGAUUUUAGACCCAAUAAAUUUGAUCAUCGAACCAAGCUACCCUAGGGAUAACAGCGCAAUCUUCUUCAAGAGCCCUUAUCACCAAGAAGGUUUACGACCUCGAUGUUGGUACAGGAUGUCCUGACAGU